rnacentral:lncRNA from 1 species
UUUUUUUCUUUCUUUCUUUUUCGCUUUUUAGGGCUGCACCCAAUGGCAUAUGGAAAUUUCCAGGCUAAGGGGUCCAACUGGAGCUGUAGCUGCUGGCCUACACCACAGCCACAGUCACUUGGGAUAUGAACCACGCCUGCAACCUACACCACAGCUCAUGGCAACACUGGAUCCUUAUCCGACUGAGCAAGGCCAGGGAUCAAACCCAAAACCUCAUAGUUACUAGUUGGAUUUGCUUACAUUGACCACAAUGGGAACUUUUUUUUUUAAGGGUCGCACCCAUGAGCAUGGAAGUUCCCAGGCCAGGGGUUGAAUCGGAGCUGCAACAGUCAGUCAUAUCCCAGCCGAAUCCUUGACCUAUGUCGAAGUUUUGCGGCAACACCAGAUCCCCCACCCACUGACACUAGUUGGGUUUUCAACCUGAUGAGCCACAAUGGGAACUCCCUGUUUUUUUAAGUUUUAUUUUCAUUUUAUUUUUUUGGCUGCAACCAUAGCAUAUGGAAGUUCCCUGGCCAGGGACUGAACCUGAGUCCAUGCAGAAACAAUGCUGGAUCUUUAACCUGCUGUGCCACAGCAGGAACUCCUACUUCUGCCUUUUUAUAGAGAUGUUUACUAAGCUGCUGCUGUCUUUAUGCUAGGAGACAGAAAGUUGAGGACCAGCCAGUUCUACCAUUGCUGUCAGUUUUGCCUUGUGGGGAUUUGCUUUCCCAGUUGGAAUUCUCCUAAGUUAUGAGACUUCUGGAUCCUGAAAAGAGGCAAGUGAUGAUCUGCAAAGGAAAAAGGGAAUUUGGGGCAUAACCAAGAAGGAUCAUGGGCUGAAAAAGGAGUAAGUAGAGUGGGCUUUCUGCGGCAUCUGGACAAAAGCCAGUCACCAUAGUCUGUCCAUUCUGCCUUUGACCUAUCUCCAAAUAUUAUCUUUUCCCCCAUCUUCACCCACAACCAUCAGAAUCCAAGUACUCAUUAACUCUCCUAUAGAUUACUCCAACAGACUAUGAAUUAUGCUCCCUAACUCCAAUCUUUAAUAUUUCUGUCAAUCAAGCCGGUAAACUACAGUCAGAUUAAUUUACCUCAAACAUUGCUUUCAUGCAACUAGCCAACAACUAUAUAUUGCUUAUUAGUCCCCAUCAUUGUGCCAAGUGCUGGUGGAUAUUCAAAACUUUCACUUAACUGAAAAAUUUACUCUAUUUGCAGGGAGGGACAUGAGUAUACAAAAAAUUAUUAUUAAAAAAAACAAAACAAAAAAAAACCAGGGAGUUCCUGUCGUGGCUCAGUGGUUAAUGAAUCUGACUAGGAACCAUGGGGUUGCAGGUUCGAUCCCUGGCCUUGAUCAGUGGGUUGAGGAUCCGGCAUUGCCGUGAACUGUGGUGUAGGCUGCAGAAACGGCUUGGAUGUGGCGUUGCUGUGGCUCUGGCGUAGGCCAGUGGCUACAGCGCCGAUUCGACCCCUAGCCUGGCAACCUCCAUAUGCCACAGGAGCGGCCCUAGAAAAGGCAAAAAGACAAAAACAAAAAAACAGAAACAGGGAGUUCCUGUCAUGCCACAGUGGAAACGAAUCCGACUAGGAACCAUGAGGUUGCAGGUUCGAUCCCUGGCCUCGCUCAGUGGGGAUCCAGUGUUGCCAUGAGCUGUGGUAGCUCACAGAUGUGGCUUGGAUCCCACGUUGCUGUGGCUGUGGUAUAGGCUGGCAGCUGUAGCUCAGAUUCAACCCCUAGCCUGGGAACUUCAUAUGCCAUGAGUACAGCCCUAAAAAAAGCAAAAAAUAAAAAAAUUUUAAAAUAAAAUUAUUGUUGGAUAUACAUAUA